rnacentral:ribozyme from 1 species
CUCCAGCAACGAGCUCGCACCUCAUCGUGGUGCUGGAGUCUAGUAGCCAUUCUGGCGAAGCUUAGUGGAGCU